GAGAGGUUCGAUCUGGCUCAGGACGAACGCUGGCGGCACGCUUAACACAUGCAAGUCGAACGGUGAAAAGUAGCUUGCUACUUGGAUCAGUGGCGGACGGGUGAGUAACACGUGAGCAAUCUGCCUUUAAGUGGGGAAUAACGAUUGGAAACGGUCGGUAAUACCGCAUAAAAUAGCUGAACCGCAUGAUUUGGCUAUCAAAGAUUUAUCGCUUAAAGAUGAGCUCGCGUCUGAUUAGCUAGUUGGUGAGGUAACGGCCCACCAAGGCGACGAUCAGUAGCCGGACUGAGAGGUUGAACGGCCACAUUGGGACUGAGACACGGCCCAGACUCCUACGGGAGGCAGCAGUGGGGAAUAUUGCACAAUGGGCGCAAGCCUGAUGCAGCGAUGCCGCGUGAGGGAAGAAGGUUUUCGGAUUGUAAACCUCUGUUGACAGGGACGAUAAUGACGGUACCUGUUCAGAAAGCUCCGGCUAACUACGUGCCAGCAGCCGC
rnacentral:rRNA from 1 species